AGCAUUGUGCCUGGCACACAGUAAGUAUGCAGUCACUGUUAUUAUUUUAAAAAUUAGCUAACUUCUCUCACGGUGUCCUCCCAAUAUGCACUUUUUGCUCCUGGUGUCCAGAUACCUAGCUUUGUAUCAUUAUUUUUUCUGAUGCCCACUUUUUAUUCUUUUUUAAAUAUCUAUAGCAGUUUUAUUUUAUUAUUAUUUAUUUUAGAUUCAGGAGGUACAUGUGCUUGUUUGUCAUAUGGAUAUAUUGCAUACUGGUGGAGAUUGGGCUUCUAGUGUACCUGUUACUCAAAUAGUGAACAUUGUACCUGAUAGACAAAGCCCUGGACUUCCCUGGGUUCCUGGACAUGAUGGCACCUCGACUCAGGCCGAUGCGUCCACCACCUCCCCCACCGGCUAAAGCCCCGGAUCCUGGCCACCCAGAUCCCCUCACCUGAAGGCCAGGGAAGCCUUGACCCCCAGUGAUGCUGCUGUCCCUAUCUUCAAGCUGUCAGACCACACCAUCAAUGAUCCAGAACAACACAGCCAAAAGCUGGAAUCUCCCUUAUUUCCACCCUCACCUCCAAGGGUGGAAACUUGCCCCUUCCCAUUUCUGGGGCUGGAACCCACUCCUUUUUUUCCCAUUGUUCUAUCAUCUCUAGGACCGGAACUACUACUUUCUCUUCUGCCAUCACCCUAUCUAGGGUGGUGAAAUGCCUGAAAUCUCUGGGGCUGGAAACCACCCAUCAA
rnacentral:sRNA from 1 species